rnacentral:rRNA from 1 species
GAUGAACGCUGGCGGCGUGCCUAAUACAUGCAAGUCGAGCGAACGGACGAGACGCUUGCUUCUCUGAUGUUAGCGGCGGACGGGUGAGUAACACGUGGAUAACCUACCUAUAAGACUGGGAUAACUUCGGGAAACCGGAGCUAAUCCCGGAUAAUAUUUUGAACCGCAUGGUUCAAAAGUGAAAGACGGUCUUGCUGUCACUUAUAGAUGGAUCCGCGCUGCAUUAGCUAGUUGGUAAGGUAACGGCCUACCACGGCAACGAUGCAUAGCCGACGUGAGAGGGGGAUCGGCCACACGGGAACUGAGACACGGUCCAGACUCCUACGGGAGGCAGCAGUAGGGAAUCUUCCGCAGUGGGCGAAAGCCUUACGGAGCAACGCCGAGUGAGUGAUGAAGGUGUUCGGAGCGGAAAACUCUGUUAUUAGGGAAGAACAUAUGUGUAAGUAACUGUGCACAGCUUGACGGUACCUAAUCAGAAAGCCACGGCUAACUACGUG